UACGGGAGGCAGCAGUGGGGAAUAUUGCACAAUGGGCGCAAGCCUGAUGCAGCCAUGCCGCGUGUAUGAAGAAGGCCUUCGGGUUGUAAAGUACUUUCAGUCGUGAGGAAGGUGUUAAGGUUAAUAACCUUAGCAAUUGACGUUAGCGACAGAAGAAGCACCGGCUAACUCCGUGCCGGCAGCCGCGGUAAUACGGAGGGUGCGAGCGUUAAUCGGAAUUACUGGGCGUAAAGGGCACGCAGGCGGUUAAUUAAGUUGGAUGUGAAAUCCCCGGGCUUAACCUGGGAAUGGCAUUCAAGCUGGUUAGCUAGAGUCUUGUAGAGGGGGUAGAAUUCCAUGUGUAGCGGUGAAAUGCGUAGAGAUGUGGAGGAAUACCGGUGGCGAAGGCGGCCCCUGGACAAAGACUGACGCUCAUGUGCGAAAGCGUGGGGAGCAAACAGGGAUUAGAUACC
rnacentral:rRNA from 1 species